UGCUCUCGGGAUGUCGGCUGUUGGAAUGGAUGGCGGGUCCCACACAUGCUCUGGCUGCCUGGUCUGUGCAUAACACCAGCUGUUGACGUGGCACAACAGGCUCUGCACCACCUCUUCCAAUGCACAGACCCACUUAUGGGAGGAGAUAUUCCCAAUCCCAUUUUACAGAGCAGAAAUUCUGACAGAAAAUUUAUAUAGCUUUUUCUGGAGUUGCCAGAGAGAAAGGGGGAUUCUGCAGAAUUCUACAGGAUUCUGGGGAGCUGGGGGCAGCUUAUUCCAAAACCCAGAGCCAUUGGGUACCACAAUCUUACUGACUCACCCAGGCACUGGGGCUGUCCUCUAAACCUCCAUCCUUCAAACAGAAGCUUUUCAGUAAUCCUUCUAUCACAUCGUCAAUAGCCCUUCAUGGGACACCUGCUGACCUUGUUCCAUGAAGGAGGCAAAAAUGGCCAAGAUGUGGGCCUGCCUUCAAGGGCUUUUUGUUCCAGCAGUGAAAUAAUGUAUGGCCGCAAAUGGAUGCACUAUGAGGUUGACCAUGACCACAGGAUGGGGCCAGGCUGAGGGGGUGGAUUUGCUUCUGUUAAGGAGGGAAAUGGUAGACCAGAAACCUGGGCUCUUCAACCUGGGCUCUUACAGUGAGAAGAGAGCAUGGGCAAGAGGGGCAGAUGGAAGAAGCACCCAUAACCUUCCCAGGAUCCACCCAUGAUUUGUCUGCGACUUGCCAAUGAUCUACCCAUAAUUCACCCGUCACCAGUCUGUGUUCUGUUCAUGACUCUGCACUUGAGACAGAUGCCGGGUGGAGAAGGGUGGCGUGGCAGGUGAGGUGUUGCCUAGAGCCAGGGUUGUUGGGGCUGCAGGACUCAUCGGCCAGGCACCUGGUUAGCAUCUCUCACCCAGGCCGUCUCUGUGUCCCAAUCCGCUGCUCCAACUGGCCUGACACACCCCUACAACGGGCUUGAGAGAGGCUGGCUUAGAUCAUGUCAGGCACUGGCCAAAGCCUUCGUCUGCUUCUAUAGCCAACAUCACAACAUCCAACUGGGGUGGGCUGCAUUUGCCUUAGGCUAUAUUUAGCAUUGGCUGUGUGCCAAGCCCUGAGAUGAACGCUUCAUGUGCAAAGGCCCAUUUGACCCUCCCUUGGGGGAGGCACCAUCAAUGGCCCUGUCCACGGCGGGAGGAAGAGGGAGCAGCACAUCGAGGCCUCGUGACUCUUCCAGGCCAUGGAGCCAGUAAAUGGCACAGCUGGGUGUUCAACUGUGACCUCGAACCUCACCCUGUGCCCCUCACCUUCCGUUCCUCUCUUUACAUGGUCUGUCUUUUGUGGACACACAGUGCCCAUGUCAUCUCAGCCUCUGUGGCUUUGCCGGGCCACAUCCAUCAUCUCUUGCCCAGUGCAGCCUCUCCCUGUACACCACCAUUUUCCUGCCUGCACCUCCUUGACUUCCUGAUGUUCUGAGAGCUCUUCAGAGGCAGGUUCCUGGCCUUGCCCACCUAGCACUCUGGAAACUUCUGGCCGCCAAGAAUCUCUUUCCAUCUGGAGUGACGGGGUUUGGGAUUCUUCUCUUUGUUUUUUCACAAUAUAGUCUCCACAUGUUUGGCUGGCAACAAGCUCUAGAUGUGAAGUUCCUGGCUACCACAGGGUGACUUCGAAAUCCAAAUCUAGAGAGAGCUCCUUCACUCGCAUCCCAUCCUGACAUGAAUAUCUUGAACCCUCAGCCUCAGUGGAUCCACAGGUGCCCACGAUUCACUCCCCUCUCCACUCAGUCGCAGGCCACCAUGCUCUUACACUGCAGCUCCCCAGAAGUCGCUGUGUGGUUCCUGGGCUGCGGGGGGCUUUGUCUGGGAGGUGUUCAGUUAACCUGAUUCUCACGAAUUGCGGUGUGAUCCUCACUGCCCUUGCCUGCCCUAGAUGGGUGAAAAGGGGGCCAGGCUGGCACAGUUGCACAGCCGUCUUAGCAUCUGGACAGCACCCUGGCUGAUGUAUAGGUGGACGCCCAGCUGCACCAGGUGGUGAGACCCAGACUUCUCCUCAUCGCAGGGGGCUGCCUGUGGGGAUUUUCUCCACUUGCUUCUCAUUGCCUUCCAGUGCCAGGACAGAGCCCAGAGAGCCUUUGUUCUAGUCUCGCUGGACACCCCAGAAAGCCCACCAGGAGCUGCCCCACGGAACCUGAAGGGGAGAAGGGCAUAUCCCCAUGUGCCAGGAAGCACAAUGCCCUGGACUAAAGGCAGCCCCCAGAAAUUCCAGGCUGAGUGAAGGAGUCCAGACAAAACAAAGCUGUGCUGGAGGAGGAGCAGGGCUGGCCCCAGCCAGACACAUUCCAGCCCGCAAUCAGGCUGCCUCUUUCUGUCUCCCUCCAGCUCUCCAAUGCCACCCCCACCCCCACGCCCAGCUGGAAACACCUCUAGCU
rnacentral:lncRNA from 1 species